rnacentral:lncRNA from 1 species
AGAAGAAAACACUGAGAUAACCAACUAUGAUAAACUGCAGUUGGAAUUUAACGACCCAGUGGAUGGGAAACAAAGGGAAGAAAUGAGACUUGAAAAAACAAACAAACAGGGAGAUCAAGUGAAGGGUGGGCAGACCUCUAUUUGACUGAUGCUUGCUCCCUUUGAAGGUGCUUCCCAGCCAUUCGGUAUUCCUCAGAAUAUCUAUUGGCACCUACUUCUACAAAAGACCAGCUGAAACAUCUAACCUGGUGGGACUGAGCAACUACUAGAUUCUUCGACUUCCCAUUCACAGUGACUUCUGGCUGUUUCCACUGACUUGGGCUGAUUGACAGAGACUCUUCUGUUUGUUCUGGAUGAACUGCCAUUGCUGAUUCAUAGAGAGAAUCUACAAGUGACUUGAGGUACUGCUGCUGAUCUGUGUGAACUGAACUGCAAAUAUUUUGACAAGAUUGGAAUUGCCCCAAAUAAAUGUUUCUAAAUAGGUCCACA